UGAGGCUAUAUACAGGGGUACAGGUUAGUAAUGAGACUAUAUACAGGGGUACAUGUUAGUAAUGAGGCUAUAUACAGGGGUACAGGUUAGUAAUGAGACUAUAUACAGGGGUACAGGUUAGUAAUGAGGCUAUAUACAGGGGUACAGGUUAGUAAUGAGACUAUAUACAGGGGUACAGGUUAGUAAUGAGGCUAUAUACAGGGGGUACAGGUUAGUAAUGAGACUAUAUACAGGGGGUACAGGUUAGUAAUGAGGCUAUAUACAGGGGUACAGGUUAGUAAUGAGACUAUAUACAGGGGGUACAGGUUAGUAAUGAGGCUAUAUACAGGGGGUACAGGUUAGUAAUGAGGCUAUAUACAGGGGUACAGGUUAGUAAUGAGACUAUAUACAGGGGGUACAGGUUAGUAAUGAGGCUAUAUACAGGGGUACAGGUUAGUAAUG
rnacentral:lncRNA from 1 species